rnacentral:rRNA from 1 species
UACGUAGGGUGCGAGCGUUGUCCGGAAUUAUUGGGCGUAAAGGGCUCGUAGGCGGUUUGUCGCGUCGGGAGUGAAAUCCACUGGCUUAACUGGUGGCUUGCUUUCGAUACGGGCAGACUGGAGGUAUGCAGGGGAGAACGGAAUUCCUGGUGUAGCGGUGAAAUGCGCAGAUAUCAGGAGGAACACCGGUGGCGAAGGCGGUUCUCUGGGCCGAUAUUGACGCUGAGGAGCGAAAGCGUGGGGAGCGAACAGG